CCCUGCGGGGGAGAGGGAAGGGGGCGCCCUCUCGAGGCAGCACCCGGCCGGGGGACGAAGACAAGAGGUCUCCAUCUCAGCAUCCGGACUCAGUUGACUCUGACGUCCUGCCCUCAGGACCUCCAGUCUGCAGCCUGACUCCCGAAUAGAUGGGGCUUCUGAAGACAAGGCUAUGUCUUUUCCUCACCUCAGCCACCAUGGUGCCUGUGAAAAAGCUUGUGGUGAAGGUGGGCAAGAAAAAAAGAAGCAGGUCCUGAAGUUUCCUCUUGACUGUACCCAUCCUGAGAAGACGGACUCAUGGAUGCUGCCAGUUUUGAGCAGUUACUUCAAGAGACAAAGUGAAAGGAAAAACUGGGAAUCUUGGGGAAGGGUCAGUGACAAUCAAAAGAAGAGUAAGCAAAAUUACUGCAACUUCUGUGGUGCCUUUUUCCAAAGGUAUUUGAAAUAUCUCACCAAAAAAAUAUUUGAAGAAGAAUAAUCCAUGUGAUUGGUUGCAUGGAGUUGCUAACAGCAAAGAAAGUUACCAAUUGAACUACUUCCAGAUUAACCAAGAUGAAGAAAAGGAGGAAGAGGAGGAUGAAAACUCAGUUAUCUUGGGGGGAGGGGCUUUCUUGGUGGCUCAGUGGUAAAGAAUCCACCUUCCAAUGCAGGGGAUAUGAGUUCAACCCCUGGUCCCAGAAGGUCUCACAUGCCUCGGAGCAACUACUGAAGCCCACGCACCUAGAGCCCAUGCUCCAAAAGCAGCCCAUGCAACAAAAGAAGGCACCUCAAUGAGAAGUCCACGCAGCAACCAGAGAGUAGCCCCCACGCACCACAUCUAGAGAAAAGCCCACGCAGCAACAAAGACCCAGCACAGCCAUAAAUAAAUAGAUACAAUUUUAAAGCCCUCCA
ensembl:lncRNA